AGUUUGAUUCCUGGCUCAGGAUGAACGCUAGCUACAGGCUUAACACAUGCAAGUCGAGGGGAAACGAUAGAGAAAGCUUGCUUUUUCUAGGCGUCGACCGGCGCACGGGUGAGUAACGCGUAUCCAACCUGCCCACCACUUGGGGAUACCUUGAAAUAAGAAUAACCCCAAGCCCCCCUAGAGCCUUUGAAAGGUAAAAAUUUCCCGGGAAGGAGGGGGUCUUUUUAUAACUUUGGGCGGGGGAACGGCCCCACAAGGGGAAAAACCGUUGGGUUUUGGAGGGAAGUCCCCCACAAUGGAAAUGGACCCGGUCCAAAUUCUUAGGGGGAGCACCAUGGAGAAUUUUGGCCAAUGGGGGAGACCCUGACCCAGCCAAAGUAGGUCCAGGAUGAGGCCCUUAUGGGUUGUAAACUGUUUUUAUAAGGGAAUAAAGUGAGCCUCGUGAGGCUUUUUGCAUGUCCUUUAUGAAUAAGGACCGGCUAAUUCCGUGCCAGCAGCCGCGGUAAUACGGAAGGUCCGGGCGUUAUCCGGAUUUAUUGGGUUUAAAGGGAGCGUAGGCCGGAGAUUAAGCGUGUUGUGAAAUGUAGAUGCUCAACAUCUGCACUGCAGCGCGAACUGGUUUCCUUGAGUACGCACAAAGUGGGCGGAAUUCGUGGUGUAGCGGUGAAAUGCUUAGAUAUCACGAAGAACUCCGAUUGCGAAGGCAGCUCACUGGAGCGCAACUGACGCUGAAGCUCGAAAGUGCGGGUAUCGAACAGGAUUAGAUACCCUGGUAGUCCGCACGGUAAACGAUGGAUGCCCGCUGUUGGUCUGAAUAGGUCAGCGGCCAAGCGAAAGCAUUAAGCAUCCCACCUGGGGAGUACGCCGGCAACGGUGAGACUCAAAGGAAUUGACGGGGGCCCGCACAAGCGGAGGAACAUGUGGUUUAAUUCGAUGAUACGCGAGGAACCUUACCCGGGCUUGAAUUGCAGAAGACGGAUCCAGAGAUGGUGACUCCCUUCGGGGCUUCUAUGAAGGUGCUGCAUGGUUGUCGUCAGCUCGUGCCGUGAGGUGUCGGCUUAAGUGCCAUAACGAGCGCAACCCCUGUCCUUAGUUGCCAUCAGGUAGAGCUGGGCACUCUGAGGAUACUGCCACCGCAAGGUGUGAGGAAGGUGGGGAUGACGUCAAAUCAGCACGGCCCUUACGUCCGGGGCUACACACGUGUUACAAUGGGUGGUACAGAGAGUAGAGUGCCCGCAAGGUCAUUCCAAUCAAGAAAGCCAUCCCCAGUUCGGAUUGGGGUCUGCAACCCGACCCCAUGAAGCUGGAUUCGCUAGUAAUCGCGCAUCAGCCAUGGCGCGGUGAAUACGUUCCCGGGCCUUGCACACACCGCCCGUC
rnacentral:rRNA from 1 species